UACGUAGGGGGCUAGCGUUGUCCGGAUUUAUUGGGCGUAAAGAGCGUGUAGGCGGCCAGAUAGGUCUGCUGUGAAAACUCGAGGCUCAACUUCGAGCUGUCGGUGGAAACUAUCUGGCUAGAGUCCGGAAGAGGGGAAUGGAAUUCCUGGUGUAGCGGUGAAAUGCGCAGAUAUCAGGAAGAACACCCGUGGCGAAGGCGGCUCUCUGGGACGGUACUGACGCUGAGACGCGAAAGCGUGGGGAGCGAACAGG
rnacentral:rRNA from 1 species